CCUACGGGAGGCAGCAGUGAGGAAUAUUGGACAAUGGGCGCAAGCCUGAUCCAGCCAUGCCGCGUGCAGGAAGACGCAUCUAUGGUGUGUAAACUGCUUUUGUACGGGAAGAAACACUCCUUCGUGAAGGAGCUUGACGGUACCGUAAGAAUAAGGAUCGGCUAACUCCGUGCCAGCAGCCGCGGUAAUACGGAGGAUCCAAGCGUUAUCCGGAAUCAUUGGGUUUAAAGGGUCCGUAGGCGGUUUAAUAAGUCAGUGGUGAAAUCUGGUCGCUCAACGAUCAAACGGCCAUUGAUACUGUUAGACUUGAAUUACUAGGAAGUAACUAGAAUAUGUAGUGUAGCGGUGAAAUGCUUAGAUAUUACAUGGAAUACCAAUUGCGAAGGCAGGUUACUACUAGUGGAUUGACGCUGAUGGACGAAAGCGUGGGGAGCGAACAGGAUUAGAUACCCUGGUAGUCCACGCCGUAAACGAUGGAUACUAGCUGUUGGGCGCAAGUUCAGUGGCUAAGCGAAAGUGAUAAGUAUCCCACCUGGGGAGUACGUUCGCAAGAUGAAACUCAAAUGAAUUGACGG
rnacentral:rRNA from 1 species